GCUAAUCCCUGAUGAGCCGAGAGGUAAAAGAUUAAUUGCCUGAAGAGGAGCUCGCGUCUGAUUAGCUAGUUGGUGAGGUAAAGGCUUACCAAGGCAACGAUCAGUAGCUGGUUUGAGAGGACGAUCAGCCACACUGGGACUGAGACACGGCCCAGACUCCUACGGGAGGCAGCAGUGGGGAAUUUUCCGCAAUGGGCGAAAGCCUGACGGAGCAAUACCGCGUGAGGGAGGAAGGCCUUUGGGUCGUAAACCUCUUUUCUUAGGGAAGAAGCUCUGACGGUACCUAAGGAAUCAGCAUCGGCUAACUCCGUGCCAGCAGCCGCGGUAAUACGGAGGAUGCAAGCGUUAUCCGGAAUCAUUGGGCGUAAAGCGUCCGCAGGUGGCUAGUCAAGUCUGCUGUCAAAGACCGGGGCUUAACUCCGGAAAGGCAGUGGAAACUGGCAAGCUAGAGUCCGGUAGGGGUAGAGGGAAUUCCCAGUGUAGCGGUGAAAUGCGUAGAGAUUGGGAAGAACAUCGGUGGCGAAAGCGCUCUACUGGGCCGGAACUGACACUGAGGGACGAAAG
rnacentral:rRNA from 2 species